GUCCUUGCCGUAAACGAUGUGGAUUAGGUGUUGGGGGUGUUGAUCCCCUCAGCGCCGCAGUUAACGCAUUAAAUCCACCACCUGGGGAGUACGGUCGCAAGACUGAAACUCAAAGAAAUUGACGGGGACCCCGCACAAGCGGUGGAGCAUGUGGUUUAAUUCGAGGCUACGCGAAGAACCUUACCCAGGCUUGACAUGUAGUUGAAUGGCUGCGAAAGCAGUCAGGCCCGCAAGGGACAAUUACACAGGUGCUGCAUGGCUGUCGU
rnacentral:rRNA from 1 species